rnacentral:miRNA from 1 species
AAGGCAUAGUAGGGUUUAGGAAGU